rnacentral:rRNA from 1 species
UACGAAGGGGGCUAGCGUUGCUCGGAAUCACUGGGCGUAAAGCGCACGUAGGCGGGUUCUUAAGUCAGGGGUGAAAUCCUGGAGCUCAACUCCAGAACUGCCUUUGAUACUGGGAAUCUCGAGUCCGGGAGAGGUGAGUGGAAUUCCGAGUGUAGAGGUGAAAUUCGUAGAUAUUCGGAAGAACACCAGUGGCGAAGGCGACUCGCUGGACAGACAUUGACGCUGAGGUGCGAAAGCGUGGGGAGCAAACAGG